rnacentral:rRNA from 1 species
UUGRCCUCAAAUCAGGUAGGACUACCCGCUGAACUUAAGCAUAUCAAUAAGCGGAGGAAAAGAAACUAACAAGGAUUCCCCUAGUAACUGCGAGUGAAGCGGGAAAAGCUCAAAUUUAAAAUCUGGCGGUUUCUGGACUGUCUGAGUUGUAAUCUAGAGAAGUGUUUACCUGUGCUGGACCRUGUACAAGUCUCCUGGAAUGGAGCAUCAUAGAGGGUGAGAAUCCCGUCUUUGACAUGGACUACCUGUGCAUUAUGGGUGCGCUCUCGAAGAGUCGAGUUGUUUGGGAAUGCAGCUCAAAAUGGGUGGUAAAUGCCAUCUAAAGCUAAAUAUUGGCGAGAGACCGAUAGCGAACAAGUACCGUGAGGGAAAGAUGAAAAGAACUUUGGAAAGAGAGUUAAACAGUACGUGAAAUUGCUGAAAGGGAAACGCUUGAAGUCAGUCACGUUGGCUGGAAAUCAGCCUUGCUUUUGCUUGGUGUAUUUUCUGGUCCGACGGGUCAGCAUCAAUUUUGACCAUUGGAUAAAGUCUUUUGGGAAUGUGGCAUCUUUUAGAUGUGUUAUAGCCCAUGGUUGCAUACAGUGGUUGGGAUUGAGGAACUCAGCACGCCGCAAGGCCGGGUUUCGACCACGUUUCCGUGCUUAGGAUGCUGGCAUAAUGGCUUUAAUCGA